rnacentral:lncRNA from 1 species
GGAAAUCAACACUGUAUACAUAAAGAAUGUGUGUGUUGCAAGUCACAUACAUGGAGAGAGAGAUUAUUUCUUGUAAUAUCUUCUUUAGGAAGACUGAUCUUAAAUUUUUUCUCUUAGCAGUUUGGCAGAGUCUGGUUCAUCUCCUGAUUCGGCAGUUUGGCCUGAGGAUUAUAGUUUAUUCUUCAAGCAAAGGACAAACUAUAAUCCCCAGGCCAAACUGUCUAUUGUGACCCAUUGUUACUGCUUCAUAUCUGCCAUUCAAUCUUCCUCUUCUCUCCUCUGCUCACUGACUCAACCUUCUUUUGUUUUGUAUUUCUUCUAACCUUAUGACAUGAAGUUGUGGAAGUUAACUUCUAUUCCCACAGAUUUUAGUCGAUGAUUACAUCAAUUUCCUUAAGUUUAGAUUAUACAGUUUUUAAUUAUUUUUAAGAUUUAAUUGUACAUAA